AUCAGCCAUGUUCUCUGUAGCUCUGCUGCUGCUGGCUGCUGGAUCCUGUGUGAAGUGUGAAACGCUGACUCAGCCAGCCUCUGUGACUGUGCAGCCAGGUCAGAGUCUGACCAUCACCUGUCAGGUCUCUUAUGCUCUCAGCAGCUAUGCUACAGCUUGGAUCAGACAGCCUGCAGGGAAAGGACUGGAGUGGAUUAUAAGAGGACGUGUUGGAUACACCACAUAUGUCAAAGAUUCACUGAAGAACAAGUUCAGCAUCAGUUUGGACUCCUCCAGUAAAACAGCGACUCUAAGCGGACAGAACAUGCAGCCUGGAGACUCUGCAGUGUAUUACUGUGCCAGACAGACACAGUGA